UUCUGUGAAUGGAAGUUACCUAAUUGCAUUCAAGAUCGAUAUUUCACGGAACUUGUUCCGUCCCGAAAUGUCGUUCUUAAAGAAUGGUUAAGUUUCAGGAUAUUUGAUCUAAUAUGCGUGGACCUAAUAUUAAUAUUAUGAUAAGGACAUGUUUUCACAUGCAUGUGGAAUUUUGAAAGACUAUGAGAAGUAAAUGAAAUAUGCUAUUAAAUAUGAACAUUUUUUUUCACUGAGCUUUUAUAUGAGGCGGUAACUACACAUUCGCUAAUCGCUAUUUACAUACUUCAGGAAUUUGGCGUCAAACCAAACGCCAUAGGUACCUACAUUCCUGAGCCUCCUCGCACUACUGAACAGAACUCUUCCCGUCCCACGGAAGAUGGGCUUGAUGCCUUGAUCAACCGAGUGAAGAGAUAAUGUUCGUGGACCUACCUCUGCUACCGCCAGUUCAUCAUCGCCACCUCCUCGAGUCAGAAGAAACAGUGCAUGGUAAUUCUGCCGAAGCACGAGAAUUUCACCUCGAUCCCGUGGAGGACAUGGGU
rnacentral:lncRNA from 1 species